AUAGCUGGGUAGCCAAGUUUGGAAGGGAUAAGCGCUGAAAGCAUCUAAGCGCAAAGCCCCCCUCAAGAUAAGAUUUCCCAUAGCAUAAGCUAGUAAGACCCCUUGGAGAUGACGAGGUAGAUAGGUCUGGAGUGUAAGCAUAGUGAUAUGUUAAGCGGACAGAUACUAAUCGGUCGAGGGCUUAACCAAAA
rnacentral:rRNA from 1 species